GGGACCCAGUCAGAGACUGAGGUAAGGAAGGGGAUGCUUGGAAGGAUGAGGGGGAGGGUCUUCUUUCUGGCUUGAGGUCAGAAAGGACUCUCCGGGCAGGGUGCCCAGCCCUCCCACACCUUCCUCCUUUCUCAGAAGAGCUGGGAUGGGGUGGGGGUGGUAGCUGACUGGGGCCUGGUGGUGGCCCUAUUUAAGGAGCACUCUUGGAGGGCAUCAUUGCAGAUCCAGCCCCAGGAGCUCAAGAGAUGAGGCUUGGUGGGUAAGUGCUGGUCCCUUUUUCGUGGUCUUCGGCAGGGUGGGGGUAGAAUGGCUCUGAAUCUGCAGCUUCCCCUCUCCAGAAAAUGAAAGUACGUUUCAAGGAAAUCUUGCUGUUCCACUCCCCAACCCCAGAUACUCCAGGCCUUCACUUCAGGUGGCGAGCUGGGAUCCCAGGGUUCCCAUCUUGAGGGUCUCCAUUUCGGGGUUCUCCAUUGACUCAGGAAGCCCCUCAACCUGCAGAGUGAUGCCUUCUCGGUGUGUGUGUUCUGGCUCUUUUCCCAACCCCUGACCCCUUUAAGCCAUCUGGCCCCGCCAUCUAGCACAUCUGGGCAGGAGAUGACUCAGGACUGACCACGCAGUACCCAAAGCCUGGGGGACAGAAUCCGUGCCAUGGACCUGAGCCACCUCAGCUCGUACUCUACCACAAUUCUGUUACACUUUAGAGAACCCCUGCCCCUUUACCCUUCUGUGGGCCCCCCCUUUUAGCUCCAAACUCAGACCCUCCCUGGGAUAGGAGGAAUCUUGUGAUAUCAGGUUCCUCAUCUGGUCCGUUCUGGGCUUCAACUUGUUCAUCUUGAGAAUGUGGGCAAAUUCACAGAAGAGAGAAUGGAGGCAAGAGUCACAAAAGAAGUCUGGCCACCUGGCUCUGAGAACUGAAUUCCAUAGGCUGUGAACUCUAGCAGAUGCCCUAGGAACUCAGUUCUGGUGCCCGGCUGUGCUGCGCCGCCAUCAAUGCUGAGACUGCAGGGAAGCUACUGACUCAGCUCAGCUUCUCCCAGACAGUGCCCCAGCCAGGCUCUCUCCAGGCACCCAUCCUGCACACUGGCCAGAUCUUUUAAUAACUUCAACUUGGGUCACCGUACUGCUUAAAAAGUUCUCAUGGCUCCCCAAAACUCCUUACCGUGCUGUUAAAAUAUGGCCUCCACUUAGCCUGGUCUUACACUGAUCCCUGGGCAUAACCUGCCCUCCAUUGAACCCUGCCAGCAUGCAUCAGUUCUUCCUGGGACACCUCCUUCACAUCGCUAUCUGUUGGAAUCUUAUAUAUCCUUCAGUUCUUCUCUCAGAUGCCUCUUCCAAGAAGCCUCUCUCGACUUCUCCAAAGUGCAUCUGAUCUCCUGCAAAUCCUCCACACUCCUCUCUGGCAGGGCUAAAGUCAUAAGUUCCCAUAGUUUUUACUUCCGUGUUCUGCAGGUACCAAAAAAAAACCCCAAACCCAGUGCCGUCGAGGUGAUUCCGACUCAUAGUGACCCUAUAGGACAGAGUAGAGCUGCCCCGUAGAGUUUCCAAGGAGCGCCUGGCAGAUUCGAACUGCUGACCCUUCGUUUAGCAGCCGUAGCACUUAACCACUAUGCCACCAAGGUUUCUGUUCUGCACACAGUAGCUGUUUAAUAAAUGUCUCUUGCAUUUUGUUGACUGUCUCAUGCGUGAAGAGGCAGUUUGGCGUAGGAACAAAACUCAAAUUUGUCAGGAGCAUUCUCAGUGUGUGACCUUGAGUAAGUUGCUUAACCUCUCUAGGCCUCAGCUUCCUCAUCUGUAAAUGGGAAUAAUAAUUAUACUUGCCUUAAUGUUUUAUGAAGAUUAACCAACUGAGUUAAUAGUGUCUGUAGACAGUUUUAGCAAAGCACCCGCACUUAGUGCUCAGUAGGUGUGUGAGGUUGUUGAUUUUUAUUAUAUUCCCUGAAGUAGAAUGUAAGGAGCCCUGGUAGUGCAAUGGUUAAGUGCUCGGCUGCAAACCAAAAGAUCAGUGGUUUGAACCCACCAGCCACACUUCACACGAGAAAAGUCCUGGCAAUCUCUCCCAUAAAGAUUAAACCAAAUCAAACCUGUUGCCGUCGAGUUGAUUCCGACUCAUAGCGACCCUAUCAGACAGAAUAGAACUACCUUAUAGGGUUUCCCAGGAGUGCCUGGUGGAUUCAUACUGCUGAUCUUUUGGUUAGCAGCCAAGCCAGGGCUCCUUUUGGUUAGAAGCUCUUAACCAUCAUGCUACCAGGGUUCCUCCCAUAAAGAUUACAGCCUGUGAAACCCUAUGGGGCAGUUCUGCCCUGUUCUAUAGGGUCACUAUGAGUUGGAAUUGACUCAGCAGCAUACAAUAAGUAGAACAUGAGCCAACCAAAGGUAAGGAGGGUGAGAUCGAAUUUGGAAUUGGUCAGUCAGGGCUUGUUGAGUAAGGGGCUCCAGACCAGAUGCCAGGGUUGGGUAACAGGUUUGCUGAGAGUCCUGGAUUCUCACCUGUUGUGUGAUCUUGGGUAAGUCACUCCCACUCUCUGGCCUGGGUAUCCAGGCGUAAUAUAAAUUGAGGGGAUUGGACUAGAUGAACAGCAAGGUCCCUGUAGCCCACAUGUUUUAUGAGUUCUGAGCUUUUAAAGGUUAAGUUCAAAGAAAUGAUCAAAGAAGGAAGGAUGUAGGCUCCCUGCAGGGCUCCCUUGCAUCCAAGGGGCCUGGGGCAGGAAGAGUUGAGGUUUGGAAAUGCUCUGGGAUGCUGAACUGAGCUGAGUGGCUGGCGGCACCUCCUCAAAAAGACUGCAAUUCAGGGACACUCCUCCUUCGCUAGUAGAAGCCCUGGUGGCACAGUGGUUAAGCGCUCGGCUGCAGCCCACCACUCUGUGGGAGAAAGAUGUGUCAGUCUGCUUCCAUAGAGACUACCCCAUUGCCAUCGAGUCAAUUCAGACUCAUAGCAACCCUAUAAGAUAGAGUAGAACUUCCCCAUAGGGUUUCCUAGGCUGUGAAUCUUUACGGAAGCAGACUGCCACGUCGUUCUUCUGUGGAGUGGCUGGUGGUUCCAACCGCCAACCUUUCCGUUAGCAGCUGAGCACUUUAAGCACUGUACCACCAGGACCCUCCUGCAAAGAUUACAACCUUGGAAACCCUCUGGGCAAUUCUACUCUGUUCUAUAGAAUCUCUGUGAGCUGGAAUCGACUGGCUGGCAGAGGGUUUCUUUUUUCCUCCCUCCCUGGGGCUAGGGUGUAGGGGUAAAUGUGUGUGCAGCCAGUGCGUAUAUCUGUCCCUUUCCACAGGAAGGAAUUUCUAUGAGCAGUGCAGAUCUUCAGAGAUGGGAGAAGUUGAGAUUUCAAGGGAGAGAAAAGGAUACAGAGCACACCUUAUGUUGGUGUGGGACUUAACGGUUUAUUUGAAACCUGCCCUGUUUCAAAAAAGAAUUUGACUCCACCUACUUUUUGGAUGUUGUUUGAAGCCAUAUAGGGUGAACAGAGGUAGACUGAUGCCUCCUCUCCCCAUAUUCCCUCAAAUGAACUGCUCUAAAAAUGAAAUUCUCCAAGAUUGAAAAAUAAAAUCAGUGACACAGAUAUCUAGUACAUUCUUAAUGUGUAUCCAUUUUGACCCAGGGAUUUAAUUUAUUUGUUAUAAUUGUUUUUACUUUUAGUUAGAUAUUAUUUGAAACUUACAGAAAAAUUGCCAGAAUAGUACCAAGGACUCCUGCUUACCCUUCCACCAGGUUCACCAACUGUUAACCUUUGUCACAUUUGUUUUCUCUCUGUCUCUCUACAUAUAUAUACCUUUAUAUAUAUAUAUGGAGCCCUGGUGGCAUAGUGGUUAAGAGCUACUGCUGCUAAUCAAGAGAUCAGCAGUGUGAAUCCAUCAGCUGCUCCUUGGAACUAUGGGGGAAUUCUACUCUGUCCUAUAGGGUCACUAAGAGUCAGAAUUUACUAGAUGACAACAGGUUAUAUGUAGAGAGAGAGAACAUGAGCAAGCGAGCCCUGGUGGCAUAGUGGUUAAGCGCUCGGCCGCUAAUCAAAAGGUCUGCAGUUCAAACCCAUCAACUACUCCAUGGGAGAAAGAUGUGGCAAUCUGCUUCCAUAAAGAUUAUGGCCUUGGAAACCCUAUGGGGCAGUUCUACUGUGUCCUAUAGAGUCGCUUUGACUUGGAAUCGACUUGAUGGCAAUGGGUUUGGUUUUGUGUGUGUGUGUGUGUGUGUGUAUAUAUAUAUAUAAAACAUAUGGAGCCUUGGUGGUGUAGUUGUUAAGAGCUCGGCUGCUAACCAAAAGAUCAGCAAUUUAUAAUCCACCAGCCACUCCUUAGAAACUCUAUGGGGCAGUUCUACUCUGUCCUAUAGGGUCGCUAUGAAUUGGAAUAGACUCAACUGUAAUGGGUUGGGUUUGGGUUAUAUUACAUAUGUAUGUAUUACAUAUAUAUCUGUGUCAUAGGGCAAAAACAGCAGAGCCUGGUUGAAAUUAAAAGUAAAGAGUUUUCAUUGAUAGGCAAGGCAAUUUUCAAAUUGGGAAUCACAAGGUUCAGAGGAUUCUGAACUAAGUGAUCCAAAGAGGGGACAAUUCAGGGAGUUUUUAUAAGAAAAUACAAGAAACUACAGUAAAAAUUCAGUGAUUGGUUGACAUUUAGGUAAUAGUUAAACAAAAUUGGGUGAGGGGACAUCUGAUUGGUAGGAGACUACAUACAUUUCUAAAAUUGUUUUUUAAAAGCUAUAAUCAUUAAAUUGGGUACAUCCAACCUCAAAAUAAUCAUGAGUCCCUCCUUGGGUGACUACAGGGAGGACAUGCAUAAUUCUAAAGUUUAUCUUGAGUAAGCAUUUGUUCUGAGAAUAGCUUUGGACUCAGUUUCCUGAACAGGGAGCAUUCUUAAGCAGGUAAAACCUUUAAGCAAACAAAAUCACAUUCCUCCCUGAAAUUGCUUACCAAAUAAUUUUCUCAAGGUACUGUGGAGAGUUACAGAAAUGACAGGCUGCAUUCUCGAUGCGGAAGUUACUUUUGAUUCAAAAUGGAGAUUUAGCCUCAGACCUUAGUGCAUAGACAUCAUCUCAUGUUGAGAGUCCUAAGUUAAUUUGGAGUGCUCUUAAUCAAUCCCCCCUUUUGAUCAUGAAUCUUAUUAGAAAGAGAUUCUUUGAUCUUAAGUCUUCUGCCUUGCUGGGCUAACAGCCUCAUCUCCAGGGCAAGUUAGUUUUUAGAUUUUUCUGAUCACCCACAAAGGAGAAACUUGUCUUUGGCAAGGUCUUUUCACAUUGGAUGGCUGUCUGUCUACACAGACAUUUAAGACCCCAGACACUAUAAUUAGACAGAUGGGCAGCACUGAAUGUUAAAUAGUGGGUUGGGAGAGUAAAGAACUGGACUGAAACAAGAGACCUCACCUGACAUGAUGCGAGAAGGCUGAGCCUAUGGUGAGAGGUUAAAGUCAUGUAAUUGUUUUUUUCUAAGUACAUUAUUUUUUUCCAUAAGAAUGGAGUUAGUAGCUUGUUUGAACAUAUUAGAUACACUUCUCAUACAUUAUUUGAUAAUAGAAAUUAUUAUAGCAACAACAAUGCGUAUAAUUAAACCAGUUUGUAAAAUAUAACAAAGCCAAGAUCCUAUGCCUUUGGGUAACCAACUAAAGGUGUCUAAAUGGGAGAGUCAAAUAUAGGAGGAAUAGAAAUGAAGCCAUGUAGCUUUCUGGAGGAUUUGUCUAAUGUCUUAUUCUACUUCCCCUGAAGAGCUUAUACAAGUACAGGAGGAGGUGUUGGCAAUGGUGCAGACUCCUCCUUGUUGAGGUAGAAGGAAAUAAAGAGCCGAAAAUUUUCAGAAGGUUGCAUGAAAUCUUCUUCUGUAAUCUUCAGAGGAGCCAUCUAUUUCCGAUGUCAUCUGCUCCUGGCCACAAGGGCAUUUGAACUUCAGUUUAAGUCCUUCAAUAGGUUUAACAGCCCAGGUGGGGGCUUCAGCCUCCUUAAACUGAGACAGAUGGAUCCAAGUUUAAACUCCCUGUAAUUUAGCAGCACAAGGAUUAGUGAGAAGGACUAAGUAUGGUCUCGUCUAACAAGGUUCCAAUGAGUCUUUCAAUUGAUGUCUCUUCUAAUAUAUAUAGAUUCUCUGGGGGAGAUGUUAAGUAGAUUUUUGGAUUUAGUUUCUAUUUAUCAAAGGUUUCAUUAACCUGUGAAAAAGUAUCUUUUAGAAUAUUAGAUUAAGGAUUAUUGGUAUAAGUAUCGUAAGGGAGGGCCAUUUGGUUAUGAAGAACUACUUCUCUUUUCAUAGUCAUUUCAGUAUUAAUUUAUUGGAGUCCAUGGGCAGAAUCAUUUAAAACAUUCUGAAUAUAUUUAGUCAGAAUUUUGGUAUGUGCUAUAACCUUUUCUAAUUUUAUUUGAGGUAUAAAAAUAGAUGUAAAAUUAUUACACCAUUGAAAUACAGGUUUGGUCGAAGGAGGGAAAGAAAAAAAUGGUUUCUUAUAUCUAGGCAAUAAAACAUUGAAGAGCAGCAAUAUUCUCAUAUAAGCCUUAUAACAAAAAAAUUUUUUUGUUUACUCAGUCUAAUGUAGUUAAUUUUGGUCCCCUGCAAUUCUGGAAUAGUAAUAGUCUGAAAACUCUGUCAGCUUCUACAUAAGAGUUCUAGAAAUCUUGAUUUAUCCCAAUCAUAUUCAUGUUUGAAACAUAGUGCUCUUCACAAGUCUGACAUAGUCUAUUUUUAUUGAAAUAUUCUGAUCAAGCAAAGGAAAACUUAUCUUUAGAUGACAAACUUAAAAAGGUCAUGAUUAACUUAUGUUAAUAAUAAUACUUCUUAAAAGUGAAGGAAACCCUGGUGGCAUAGUGGUUAAGUGCUACAGCUGCUAGCCAAAGAUCGGCAGUUCAAAUCCUCCAGACGCUCCUUGGAAACUCUAUGUGGCAGUUCUGUAGGGUCGCUAUGAGUUGGCAUCGACUCGACGGCACUGGGUUUGGUUUGGUUUUUGGUCUUAAAAGUGAAAGACUUAUAGGAAUUAAUUAUAAAAGAGUAAUCCAAAGCUGAAUAAACUCACAAACGAAAAAAGAACUUUGGAUGAAAAGAUCUCUAAACAUAAUGAUUAACCUUUUUAUUUUUUAAAGCUUUAGAUAUAACACAUCCUAAGACAUUCAAUAGUCAGGAUAUACUAAGGAUAUUCUAAGAUUAUUAAGUCUAUAAACAUCUGAAUAGUAAUAAAAAGCUCUGUGGGUAAACAAUGUUUAUUCUCUGGCUAAACCCAUUGAUCUUGAUGAUGCUAGAUUCAAAGGAAACGAACUGCAAUCAAGUUAGCAAUAGAAAUAAUAAAAUUAUGGCAUAAUAUUGUGUCUUUCCACAAAGUUUCAAAGUUAUCAGGAGUUUAUUAUAGGUCAUCAAGGAACAGUACUUGAGUUAUUUAACUAAAGAUCUUAGAGGUAAAAACUUUAGCUUUUCUAAAGCCAAGUGUCUUGGUUUCUUAGUCAAGGGCAUAAAGUUACCAUAAAUUUAGAGACACUGAACUUUUGCCUUCUGGGCAGAUUACAUAGAAAACAGUAAAUUAAGGAAACAAGUCUAUUAAAAUUGAGCAAACUUUGUUAGGAUUUUAACAUAUUUUAUAGUUUUUUAGAUCCAGGAAUUAUUUUGUUGAACUCUUGCCUUCAAGGCAAACUGAACAAAGAACAACAUUAACCCUUCAAGUCAAUAAUCAAAGGAAAUUUUGUUAUCUUAACAGUGAGAAAUUUAAUUCUUUGUUAUGGACAUUAAAGCUCUUAAAGAUUUUCAUAAAUUAACCUGUUAACUUUUAGUUGCAGUGGAUAAGAACUUGACUAUAUUAAAUAAAUUCUCUUUUUACAAACCUUUAAAAUUUUUGUUUUUGUAUAUAUCUCUUAUAGUACCUAACUACAACCUUUUAAUUGGCAAAAAUGAACAUACUCAUUACUAAGCUGAAAUAUCAGGAAAUCCUUUUUUGUGGCAUAAAAAGCAAUAGCCUAUAAAAUUUAAUUAUAAUGAAUAUCUAUUAAUUUGAUAUUAGUAAGUUACUUAAAAAUCUUGGAAGUUAAUUUAAGCCUAGAUGUUAUAAAACAUAAUUACCAUUGAAAUAAAAAAAGUUUAGCUUUUUCCUAUGUUUCAAUGUCUUCUCUUCGAUGUCUUAAAAAUCUCUCUAUAGUUACUUUAUGAAAAUUAGAGUAAUCAAUUAACAAAUUUGGAUGGUUUCUUUCCUUACUCAUUAUAAGGUCAAAGUUGGCUGAGCCCUCAGUCAUUUUUGGAGCCAUGCCUCUACUAUUUCAAAUGCAAGCAGCAUGGUUGCCCGGUAACACAGAGGUGGCCCCUCCUAUUUUAGUUUUCCCCUUAUUAUUGCAGCUGUUCGAUUAUGGUCGCAGGGGCAGUUACCAGAGGAUUCCAGAGAAGGCGUUUUAAGGUCUCUUCAAGGCCACUUCAAUAGAAACUAUCUUGAAGGGCCUUUUACUUUGUUUCUCUUGCUUUGGACUGAGUGUUCUCCAUCCUGGGGACUCAGAAAACACUUAUAUGGGAGGCUAAAUUUUUCCAGUCCUGUGAGCCUUCCAUUUCUUGUCAUUCGGGAAUUAAUAAACAUUACUUUUUUUCCUUAAAUAAAACAUAUUUCAUAUAACAUCUAGCUUAAGUAACUUAGAAAGGUUUUACUUUCAAGGUUAACAUAAACAUAAAAUCUUCACUGGAAUGAAUUCAUUUUCAUUAAUUCCUGGAAAUAUUAAGACCAUUCAAUUUAUGCAAGUGCUUAUUUAUCAUUAAACCAAUCAGAGUAAGUUCUUUGAAGAAAUAUUGUAACCUAAUUUAAUAAUACCAUCAGGAGGUAGGAAAUUAUUAUAUUUUCAUAGCCUUGUCUUUUGCAUGCUUUAUAGAAUCCUUUAAAUAAGCAAUUUAGAAUAAUUUGUCUCUUUUUUAAGGCCUUGUUAUACCAAUCAAAAUUAACAAUUUAUUCUUUUUCAGUGCACUUUUCAAAUAGACUGAUUUGUAUGAAAUUUCUUAGAGUAAGAAGCAGUUAUUUUUGGAAAAGAAAACCCAUUACCCAUUGCCAUCGAGUCGAUUUUGACUCAUAGUGACCCUAUAGGACAGAGUAGAGCUGUCCCAUAGAGUUUCCAAGGAACACCUGGUAGAUUAGAGCUGCUGACCUUUUGGUUAGGAGCUGUAGCAUUUGACCACUACACCACCAGGGUGUCCUGGAAGAGAAAAGAGCUGCGAAUUUUAGACAGCCCCAUCGAAAACACCAGCCAUGGCCUUUAACUUAAUACAGAAACUCAGACACAGCAGCAUUCUAGAUUACAGGCAAGCUUCUCAAAACAUAACAAAAGAGAAAGGCUACAUUUUCCCAGGGUGAUCACUGAGAUUUUAAAUAAUUUCAAGUAUAUUCAGCUUAUAGUGUUUUUGAACAUGAACUCCAAACCAGCGUCCUGGUAGCAGAGAAAUCCAGAAUCAUUUAUUUAUAGAGGAUAUUAAAAACUAGGUUCUGUCUUAGUCAUCUAGUGCUGCUGUAGCAGAAAUACCACAAGUGAAUGGCUUUAACAAACCGAAGUUUAUUCUCUCACAGUCUAGUAGGCCAGAAGUCCAAAUUCAGGACGUCAUCUCCGGGGAAGGCUUUCUCUGUCAGCUCUGGAGGAAGAUCCUUGUCAUCAAUCUUCUUAUGGACUUCUCAGCACAGGAACCCCGGUUCCAAAGGAAGCACUCUGCUCCAGAUCUUGGGAUUCAUUGAUAUUUGCGGCCUAUGAGGAAGAACCCUGCCCUCUGACCUGGUGAUCUUGAGUUUGCCAGGCCCUGUGGCUACGUGAAUCAAGAGAAGCCUCUAUCUUGACCCACAGAUUGGGACGUUCCAGCCCCUACAGCCAUGUGAGCCACUUCCUUUAUAUAAAUCUCUCUAUAUAUUUAUAUGCUUUACUGGUUUUGCUUUUCUAGAGAACUCAGCCUAAGACUGUACAUAUAUAUAUACACACAUGUAUGUAUAUAUAUACAUAUAUAUGUAUAAGGAAACCCUGGUGGUGUAGUGGUUAAGCGCUACGGCUGCUAACCAAAGGGUCAGCAGUUCGAAUCUGCCAGGUGCUCCUUGGAAACUCUAUGGGGCAGUUCUACUCUGUCCUAUAGGUUCAGUGUGAGUCGGAAUUGAUUCGAUGGCACGGGGUUUUUAUACAUACAUAUAAAGUGAUAUAUAGUAUGUCACUUGGUGACAUCACUACCCUGGUGGCGUAGUGGUGAAGUGCUACGUAUGCUAACCAAAAGGUCAGCAGUUCAAAUGUGCCAGGCGCCCCUUGGAAACUGUAUGGGGCAGUUCUACUCUGUCCUGUAGGGUUGCUAUGAGUCGGAAUUGACUCAACGGCAAUGGAUUUUUUUGGUUUUUUAUAUAUUACAUGAUGUAUAGUAUAUGUAUAUAGUGCAUAUAUAAUUUUUUUUCUGAAUGAUUUGAUAGUAAGUUACAGAUUUGAUGCCUCCUUACUGCUAAACAUUUCAGUGUGUAUUUUCUAAGAACAAGGACAUUCUUUUAUAGAACCACAGUAGAAUUAUAAAAAUCAGAGAAUUUAACAUUGAUAUACUGCUAUUGGAAACCCUGGUAGCAUGGUGGUUAAGGGCUACGGCUGCUAACCAAAAGGUCCGCAGUUCAGAUCCACCAGGAGCUCCUUGAAAACUUUAUGGGGGAGUUCUACUCUGUCGUAUAGGGUUGCUAUGAGUCAGAAUCAACUUGAUAGCAACAGUUUUUUUUUUUUAUAAACUGCUAUAAUCUCAAUAGUAGUUCUCAUUCAAAUCUUGCAAAUUGUCUUUUGUAGCAAUUUUUAUCCUGAUCCAGGAUCCAAUCCAGAAUCAUGCAUUGCGUUUCGUUUCUGUUCAUGAGAGAAUUUCUCAGCUUUCUUUGUCUUUCAUGACAUUAACAUUUGUGAAGAAUACAGGCCACAUUUUGAUCAAAUACUCUAUAGGAGAAUCCUGAUCAAAAGAGGGAAAUUUUCAAAUUCUCAUGGAAUCCAGACAUUCUGGAGCCUUGGAGGCUGGAUGCACCCCUGAAACUAUUUCUCUUAGGCUGGGUUCUCUAGAGAAGCAAAUCCAGUGAAGCAUAUAAAUAUAUACAUAGAGAGAGAAAUUUAUAUCAAGGAAAUUGCUCACAUGGUCGUAGAGGCUGGAAACUCCCAAUCCAUGGGUCAGGCUGGAGGAUUUUCCUGACUCACGUAACUGCAGGAGCUGGUGAACCCAAGAUUUGCAGGUCAGACGGCAGGUCCCUUGCUCACAGGCUGCAGAGGCUGACAAAUUCUAAGGUCGGCAGGUAUGAUGCUAGCUCAAUCCCAAGAACCAGUGGUCAGAUGAACAGGAGCCAGCUGCAGGAUCCAGAGUGAGCAAGAGCCAACAAGCUUUACCAGAAAGUCUACCUAUAUUGGAUGCAAGCCACAUCCCCAAGGAAAUUCUCUUUCAACUGAUCAGCUACUCAUAACAGAUCUCAUCAUGGAGUGAUUACAUUAUUACAUAGUUACCAAACUACAUCAUAACUGCCAAACCACUGAGAAUCAUGGCCCAGCCAAGCUGACACACAACCUUAACCAUCACACUAUUGCCCUGAAAUAAUCUUUAAACCUAAACCAAAAAUAUCCCCUUAAGUCUUCUUAAAACCAAACAAUAGUUUAGUUUAACUAGUAAAAAAAAUCUGCCUUGAGCAUUAUGCUCUCUUAAGAUCUAUCUAUCAGGGAUCAAAUUGACAAUAGCACUUGUAAGGAGCUCUGGUGGUGCAGUGGUUAAGUGCUUAGCUACUAACCAAAAGGUUGGUGGUUCAAACCCACCAGCUACUCUGGGAGAGAAAGAUGUGACAGUUCGCUUUUGUAAGGAUUACAGCCUUGGAAAACCUAUAGGGCAGCUCUGCUGUGUCCUGCAGGGUCACUAUGAGUUGGAGUCAAUUCAAUGGCAAUGGAUUGCAUUUUUGGUUUAAGAAAUUUGUUGGGGAGGCAGGACCAAAAUGGCAGAGUAGUCAGACACUUCCAGUGAUCCCUCUUACAACAAAGACCAGAAAAGUCAUGUGAAGCGAUUAUGUAUGUGACAAGCUAGGAGCCCUGAACAUCAAAGGCCAAGUUAGAAAAUGGACUGAGCAGCAGUGUGAGGGAGAGAUGGUUCAGAAGUGGUGAAGAGUUUCCAGACGUGACUCAGCAGGAACCCUCAGGCAGGAUCCCAUGGAGCAACCAUUUCAGGGCUGGCAGUGGCCUUCCAGAUGCAGUUUCCUCACGAAGAGACAGCGAGCCACACAGCCUACUCACACCUCUGGAACCAGAGAAUAACAGCACUCUUGGCAAAAGCUAAGUACUUGUGUUUAUUUUACAGCACCCCCAGCCCUAAAGCCAACUUCAGUGGCCGUUGACUUCCCUGGGCCUGAGAUAGGCCCUGCUGCAUGCUCUGAGCCAUUCUGCUGACCUUGGAGAAGGAAUAAAUUCACAACUGGGGGAAAAGAUAAUCUGCCAGCUCCACUAAGCUGGGGAGCUCAGGACAGAAGUGGCUCCUGUCCAGGCACAAACAGUCCACAGACCUUGAAUACCUUUCACCCCUGCAUGGACCUGUGUGGGCCCAUUUCAGGAGAAUAAGCUCUUGUUGGCAGAUUGCGACUGUUUCAGAUGUGUGGUGGAGAGGUGGGUAUUUGAUGUUUGACGCCACUUUGCCUAUUAAACAGGGUCCUCACCUACUCACAUCAGGGGCCUAAGGACUGGUGGCUCCACCCACCUCACCCAGCCACCCAUGACAGGGGUCCAAGGAUAAGUGGUACCUCCCAGUCCUUACAACCAAAAGUACUGAGUGCCCAUGGCCUAGCCGCAGAAGCCACCCACCUAUGUGCUGUAGCGAACAGGGACGUGCUUUCCUCACAGACACACAGGGGAUGGUUGUCAGCACCCUUCCUUGUUCAGAGCAUGACCGUCUGCUGCAACAAGAUACCUGUACCUACACCAAUAACCCCUGCCCCUCUAAGUCUGUAGGACAGAGCCUGUGCCACACACUUGAUGACCAACUUCCUGGACACAUGAGCUGAAUCCAUACAGGAAAAGUGAAUGGACUCCUAGGCUUAUAUACCUGGUAACAGCUCUAGCCAUCUAGUGACAGGAUGUUAGAGGUUCAAAGGUGAAAAUUAUCAACCUAGCUCACUCAGGCAGCCUAUUUGGGCAUAUCAAAACAAAAAGUAAGAAGCUAGCAUACAGUAAGCAAACAUAAAAUAAAUUAAUACAAUAACUUAUAGAUGGCUCGGAGACAAUAGUCAAUAUUAAAUCACAUAAAGAAGCAGACAUUGAUCACUUCAACAAGCUCUCAAAACAAAUAAUCAAGGAAUCUUCCAGAUGAAGGUGUAUUCCUGGAAUUACGAAAUGUAGAAUACAGAACUCUUCAAGACGUCAGAAGCAAGAGCAGGCAAAACACAGAACAAGCCAUGGAACACACAGAUAAAGCAGUUGAGGAAACUAAAAAGGUUAUUCAAGAACAUAAUGAAAAAUUUAAUAGGCUGCAAGAAUCCAUGGAGAGACAGCAAUCAGAAAUUGAGAAGAUUAACAAUAAAAUUACAAAAUUUGAAACUCAAUAGAAAGUCAGAGGAGCAGAUUGAGCAAGUGGAAGGCAGAAUUGGUGACCUUGAAGACAAAGCACUUGACACCAAUAUAUUUGAAGAAAAAUCAAAUAAAAGAAUUAAAAAAAAUGAAGAAACCAUAAGAUUCAUGUUGGACUGUAUCAAGAGGAAUAACCUACAAGUGAUUGGAGUACCAGAACAGGGAGGGAGAACAGAAAAUACAGAGAGAAUUGCUGAAGAUUUGUUGGCAGAAAACUUCCCUGAUAUCGUGAAACAUGAGAAGAUAUCUGUCCAAGAUGGUCAUUGAACUCCACAUAAGGUAGAUCCCAAAAGAAAGUCACCAAGACAUAUUAUAAUCAAACUUGCCAAAACCAAAGAUAGAGAAUUUUAAGAGUGGCUAGGGAUAAAUGAAAAGUCACCUACAAAGGAGAGUCAAUAAGAAUAAGCUUGGACUACUCUGCAGAAACCAUGAAGGCAAGAAGGCAAUGGGAUGACUUAUAUAAAGCAUUGAAGGAAAAAAAUUGCCAGUCAAGAACCAUACGUCCAGCAAAACUGUCUCUCAAACAUGAAGCCGAAAUCCAGACAUUUCCAGAUAAACAGAAAUUUAGGGAAUCUGUAAAAACGAAAUCAAAACUACGAGGGAGUUCUCUGGUUAGAAAAUCAAUAAUAUCAGAUAUUGACCAAAGACUAGAACACGGGACAGAGCAACCAGAUGUCAACCCAGAUAGGGAAAUUACAAAAAUAAAUCAAGAUAAAAAACACUCAAAACAGGGAAGGGGCGAUGUCAUUAUGUAAAAGAAGACAACAUUAAAACAAUAAAGAGGGACAAGAAAAUGUCAUAGAUUUUUAAUAUGGAGAGGAAGUCAAGGCAAUAUAAAGAAAUAAAAGUUAGGUUUAAACUUAGAAAAAUAGGGGUAAAUAUUAAGGUAACCGCAAAGGAGACUGAUACUCCUACUCAUCAACAUAAAAUACAAGAAAAAAUUAAAGAUUCAGCAAAAACAAAAUCAAUAACAAUGAAUAAGAGGAAAAGACAAUAGAUAAACUACUCAGCACAAUAAAAUUAAGUGGGAAAAAGAAACUGUCAACAACACAUAAAAAAAGACAUCAAAAUGACAGCACUAAACUCAUACCUAUCCAUAAUUACGCCGAAUGUAAAUGGACUAAAUGCACCAACAAAGAGACAGAGAGUGGCAGAAUGGAUUAAAAAAACACGAUCCAUCUAUAUGUUGCCUGCAAGAGAUGCACCUUAGACUUAGAGACACAAACAAGCUAAAACUCAAAGGAUGGAAAAAAAUAUAUCAAGCAAACAACAAUCAAAAAAGAGCAGGAGUGGCAAUAUUAAUUUCUGACAAAAUAGACUUUAAAGUUAAAUCCACCACAAAGGAUAAGGAAGGACACUAUAUAAUGAUUAAAGGGACAAUAUACCUGGAAGAUAUAACCACAUCAAAUAUUUAUGCACCCAACAACAGGGCUUCAAGAUACAUAAAACAAACUCUAACAGCAUUGAAAAGUGAGAUAGACUGCUCCACAGUAAUAGUAGGAGACUUCAACACACCAUUUUCAGUGAAGGACAGAACAUCCAGAAAGAAGCUCAAUAAAGACACAGAAGAUCUAAAUGUCACAAUCAACCAACCUGACCUCAUAGACAUAUACAGAACACUCCACCCAACAGCAGCCAAGUAUACUUUCUUUUCCAGCACACAUGGAACAUUCUCUGGAAUAGACCACGUAUUAGGUCAUAAAGCAAGCCUUAACAGAAUCCAAAACAUCGAAAUAGUACAAAGCAUCUUCUCUGACCACAAGGCCAUAAAAGUAGAAAUCGAUAACAGAAAAAGCAAGGAAAAGAAAUCAAACAUUUGAAAACUGAACAAUACCUUGCUCAAAAACAACUGCAUUAUAGAAGACGUUAAGGAUGGAAUAAAGAAAUUCAUAGAAUCCAAUAAGAAUGAAAACACUUCGUAUCAGAACCUUUGGAACACAGCUAAAGUAGUGCUCAGAGGUCAACUUAUAUCAGUAAGUACACACAUCCAAAAAGAAGAAAAGGCCAAAAUCAAAGAAUUAUCCCUACAACUUGAACAAAUAGAAAGAGAGCAACAAAAGAAACCCUCAGGCACCAGAAGAAAGCAAAUAAUAAAAAUUAGAGCAGAAUGGAAUGAAAUAGACAACAGAAAAACAACUGAAAGAGUUAACAAGACCAAAAGCUGAUUAUUUGAAAAAAUUAACAAAAUUGAUAAACCAUUGGCCAAACUGACAAAAGAAAAACAGGAGAGGAAGCAAAUAACCUGAAUAAGAAAUGAGAUGGGCGAUAUCACAACAGAUCCAACUAAAAUUAAAAGAAUCAUAUCAGAUUACUAUGAAAAAUUGUACUCUAACAAAUUUGAAAUCCUAGAAGAAAUAGAUGAAUUCCUCAAACACACUACCUAAACUAACACAAACAGAGGUAGAACAACUAAAUAAACACAUAACAAAAGAAGAGAUUUGACAGGUAAUUAAAAAACUCCCCCCCAAAAAAGCCCUGGGCCAGAUGGCUUCACUGGAGAAUUCUACCAAACUUUCAGAGAAGAGUUAACAGCACUACUACUAAAGGUAUUUCAGAGCACAGAAAAAGAUGGAAUACUCCCAAACUUUUUCUAUGAAGACAGCAUAUCCCUGAUACCAAAACCAGGUAACCAAAACAAAACCAAACCCAGUGCUGUUGAGUCAAUUCCGACUCAUAGCGACCCUAUAGGACAGAGUAGAACUGCCCCAUAGAGUUUCCAAGGAGCUCCUGGAGGAUUCGAACUGCCAGCCCUUUGGUUAGCAGCCGUAGCACUUAACCACUACACCACCAGGGUUUAAACCAGGUUAAAAAAAAAAAAAAAGGUAAA